GAGCAGUUGAGCUCCGACGACUCGAACGCCUCAGAGGAAGCGUCAGUUUGGUGAAAUGGUCCUGCUCCUCAGACACCCACAGGUGAGGUACUUCAUGGCGGUCAUGCUGACGUGCAUUAGUGGACCCAGGUUGAAGAGCAUGUGGUAGAAGGAAUGGACAGACAGGCCUCCAGUUUCAUCGGCGUAUUUCAACGCAACGAUGGGCGUGUACAGAGGGUUGGCAUCACCUCCUUGAUCAUCCGGAUCACCCCGAAGAAAUUGGUCUCAAACACUUUCUUCAUCUCGUCGAUGGGGAUGCUUUCUAUUGGACCCACGAGGCCGAUACCGGCAUUAUUGACUGGAGUGAGCGGAAAGAAAGGAGUAAAGGUCAUGAAGGAAUGGGAGAAUACUGUCUGAGACAAGAGAUUAUAGGUCCCUAAAUCAUCUGCGACUGAACUGUGACCUCUGACCCCCAUGUGAGGAGAGGAAAUACUGGAAGCUGCACAGUUUCCUCUUCAUUUUGAAAACACAUCCUCACAUUUGCUAAUCGGUGUAUUUCCUUUCAUGAAACAGUUGUGUUUUUGAUUCUCAGUUGUUAUGUCUGAAUGGGAUCCUCAUUCACCCUCCUGUGGUUCAGUUUUUUUUGUUAAAUAAUCAAAACACUACAAACAUCUGCUCAGUCAGCUUUAGAGGGAAUCACUGCUGUGGAUCCAGAUGCAACAGUGGCUUGAAUCUGCAUCAUCAUGUGUGAGCAUCUUAUGUGUACACAGUUCUAGUCGAGGAUCGGUAGUAACAGGGAACUCAUUAACAAAUCAGGUUACAAUUCAGACAAAGUUAUUACUAUGUAUACGAGUUUCU